rnacentral:lncRNA from 10 species
AAAGCAGUAGGGACCAUGUGCAUAAGGAAAAAUAACCCCUUUCCCUCCUUUGUCCAGGUGUGCACUCACCAGUCCUCCAUCUGUAAGGGCAUACCCUUCUAUAGAAGUACCUUGCCCUGCUGAGAAUUAAAAAGAAAAUUUUAUAUUCGAGUGCUAUUUCUUUUGUGGCACCGAAACUUUACUUAUAACAAUUUGGGGGCUCAUCCGGGAUUACAUUCCCCUCCGGGGGUGGUCUCUGGUUCUCUCUUGUGAGGAGGUGCACCCCACCCCACUGUGGCGGCCUCAGGGGUGAGAAAUCAAGACCCACCCAGUGUGAAGAAUAACCUGAGCUCUCAGCUACAUGGAAAGAAACUGGCUAGCAACCUAGCUUAAAGCAUCCUCCAUAAGGGCCACACAAGUGUGUGCAUGGACCGAGGAAAAGACACCAUGGGAGCCGGUAAAGUAUUUCCUUGGUGGUUGGGAGCAAGGUUAAUUAUAUUCUAAAGCAUACCAAGCUCUUCGUGUUUGCUGCUGGAGUGACUGUGUGUUCCCUUGCCCUUAGAUGAAGAAAUGCUUUCAAAACCUCUGAAGAUGCCUGAAUGGUCUGAGGUUCUAAUGGUUUACAUUUUCUUAUCGUUCAUAUGGAUAAAAAUAUGGCUGCAUUCCAACUGUCAAGAUACAUUUGUGUGUUGCCUAUAAAACUAGCUCUUCUGUUUAAAUGAAGAGCAGAUAAAAAGCAUGUAUGCAAUUAGUCUAAUCGGUUCAAUGGCAAAUUACAGAGCAAAGAUUGUGGUAGGAUAAUCUUUCGGAUUAUUCAUUCUGAGUUUAAAAAUGUUUUGGCUUCUAACAGAAAUCCUUUAAUUAUAUGCUAAAGUGGUGAUAACCUCAUUACAAUAGUUUUGCUUAUUCCUCAAAGCAUUUAUUAGUUUACUUCUUUAAAAUUUGAAAGUGACUAUAAAGUUAGGAAGUAAACAUUUUUGAAAGGAUCAAUUAAUGAUUUAAUAAUUUGAAUUGUUCUCCAAAGAUUAGACAUGGCAAUUGAAAAUAAAUGUAGAAAUCUCUUCCCUAUGCUCAUCAAAAUUUUGACAUGUAUUCAUAUGCCUACUUAUAAAGGAGAUUGGCAGCACAUAAUUGAUACCAUCUAGCCUUUAUUUACAGCAAUCAAACAUAAGACCUUGACAACAUUAACAUGCCCUGUGUGCAUGUGUGCACAUACUCAUAUAUACACACACUCAUAUAUACACACCCACACAUAUAACACCCAUACACACACAUACAUAUACACACAUAUACACACAGAUACAUAAACACACACAUACUCUUCACAGUCUUUCUAGGUGAAUCCCCCAAUCUAAAAUGGCCUCCCUCCACACACCCUGUUUGUUUGUAUUAUCUCUAGCUUGCCUUUGCUUUUUGUCAUUGCCCAGGAGUGCCAAAUGCACCCAAUUUCAUCUUCAUUUGUUUAUGGGCUUGUCUAUCUCCCCACUGGAACAGUGCCCAGGGGGGAUAGUGGCUGUUUCUGAAUUGUUCACUGCUGUAUCCUCAGUACCUAGAUCAAUGCACGGCUCACGAUAGGUGCUAAGAAUUUGUUCAGUGAAUAAGUGACUGUUCCCAUUUGGACUUAAGCUUGUGCAGGGAAAAAAACAGACUGCUUUUCCUCUGCUCUCACCCCACAAUCAACACAGAAGACUUCUAUGGCCAAAUGUGUGCAUUUUUCCCCCCAUAUACUAAGCAAUCAAUCUGUUCCACAGCAGAUGCCAGCUGGGAGUCCUCCAGCCCAGGCAGUGCUGAGUCUACUGGAGAUAGCGUCAGACCCCACGGAAUGAAGGCUCAGUCCCACAAGACUGCCUCCACUUCCGGUGCCAAUCGCAAACCCCAGGUUGUUCACUUGUCUUCUGACUGACCAGCUAUAAAUCAGGGAUCCCAUGGAGCCGCUCAUAGAACUCAGGAAAUCUCUUAUGUUUGCUAGUUUAUUACAAAGGACGUUACAAAGACUGCAGAUGAAGAGGUGCACAGGACAGGGCAUGGGAGAGGGGUGUGCCACCCUCUAGGCACCUCCACGUGUUCAGCUGUUUAGGAAAAUCUCUCAAACCCUGUUCUUCCUCUCCUCUCACACCUCAGCAGCCAUCAAUGCAGAAGACUUUUGUGACCUAAUGUGGUGGGGUUGGUUUCUUCACAUAGCAAUCAGUGGACACCAGCUGGGUCCCUCUAAUUCAGUUCUAACGCUAUCUACUUGGAGGUAACCUCAGAUCCCACAGGUUGAGGCUUAGUCCCCAAGACAGCCCGCCUCAGACACCAGUGGCAAGUCCAGGCUCUGAAACUUCUGACUGACUGGCUGGCUAUAAAUUGGGGAUACCAGGACCCUCUUUGGGUUUAAUUUGUUGGAGUGGCACACAGAACUCAGGGGAACACCAACUUGUGUUUACCAGUUUAUUGUAAAGGAUAUUACAAGGAUACAUCCAUCAAGGAUACAGAUAAUGAGAUGCGGAGUGAGGUAUUGGGGAGGGCACAGAGCUUCCACGCCCUCCGUGGGUAUCACGCUCCAGGACCCUACCCAGGCUCAACCACCCGGAAGCUCUCUGAACCCUGUCCUCUUGAGUUUUUAUGGCAGCUUCAUUAUGUAGGCAUGAUUGAUUAAACCAUUGGCCAUUGAUGAUCAACAUAACCUCCAGCUUCUUCCCCUCCCUGGAGAUUAGGAGGUGGGACUGAAAGUCCUAGCCCUCUAAUUGUGCCUUUGUCUUUCUGGUGGCCAACCAUAUCCUGAAGCUAUCAGUAAACAUCAGCAAACAAAAAGACAGCACUUCGAAGUUUCCAAGGAUUUUAGGAGUUGUAUGCCAGGAAAACUGGCGAAGACCAAAUAUAUGUAUUUCAUAAUAUCAUAGCUUCCUUCUCUGAAUUUCUGUAAGACUUUAGCUUCACAUGUGAAAAUAAGUAAUUCAAAAUCUAAGCUACUGAAACUUUGAAAUAUUUCAAGCCUUAAGGAAAUGUGAUUAUGGGAUCUGAGUCAUGCAAACAGGCAGCUGUAAUGUAGGCAGCUGUAAUCUUUAUUUCUCUGAUUAUAGAUUAGCCUUCUUCCUUACCUACAGUGUUUUGUAAAAUGCUGCAAAUGACUAAAGAGUGACAAGAAAGACCCCUUCCCUCUUCACUACUGAUCUUUGUUAUAGAUUAACAUCCUUCUUACCUUUCUCACACAAAGACUUUGGCUAUCACCUUGCCUAAAAUAAAAUGUUAAAUAUACACUUUUAAAUUGGAAACAAAAACUAGCUGUAAAGAAAAGAAAACGUGUCACAUGGAGAAAAAAGCAAACUGCACUAAUUAAAUUUUUGCAACUAAUAAACCAGACUUGCAUAGAAAAUGUUAUAAUCCUACUAAACUUCUUUGUUUUCUGCCUAAUGAGAAAUAAAAAAUAAAAUCCUAAGCCCCCCAUGUGACUAAACAGACUCCCUCUUAGCCAAGAGGACCCUGAAGAAACCUUAAAAAAAACAGCUCUCAGCCAUGACAGUAUAGGAUGUCAGAUGGGCCUCAUGAUAGACCCUCCUUUGCUAAAUGCCAUUAGACUUUCUUUUCCUAAGCUUUAAACAAAAACCAGCCCUCCUGAAAGACUUACUUGACUGCUGAUUUCAACCAAUCACCUGACACUACCCCGGUUUGGUGGACAGCAACUGAUCAACAUUCCUUCCUGGUAAGAGACCACCAACCAUGGAGUGGUUUGGAUCAGUUUAAAGAGACUGCACAAUGAGGGCCUUCAGGUCAUCUGCUUUACCUUUUGAUGUAUAGGAUCUAAUUAUAAUACAUUUAAAUGAUAAGUCUCCACCCCAAAGUAAACGUGGGAUACAUGUUACUUAUGUGUUACUCUACUACACAUGCCUAUGCCUCCCCUUUGUAAAAUAUUCAGAGCUCCUCUUAUAACCUGUAGAAUAUAUAUACCUAGCCAAUCUGUUCAACAUAAGUUCCUGUCUUAUCCUUCCCUCCCUUGAAGUGCCUGCUUUCAGCUUCUGAAAGAGGCUAUGCUUCCCAGCCUACAGGCAGCAACCCUUUAUGAGAAAUAAAGCUCUCCUUUCCAAAUUUAUGAACCUCAUGAUUCUUCAGAUGACACUAUAUAUAAAAGCAAAACAACUUUUAAGUUCAAAGUGCUGACCCUACUUCUCUAGUGUCUUUGUCUUCCAGAUGGUCAUUCCCAGCUUUUCACCAGAAUAAGCUUUUUAAACUGGAUUCUGAUCAUUUCUAUUAUUUCAGGCUGACACACAUAAUUCAUCACCUCCUUCAUCUUACUACAGUCAUUCAUUCAUUUACCAUGUCUUCCUGUGAGCUCCCUGAGAGCAGGUUCUGUGGUAGGUAAAUUUGUGUUCCCUCUGGCACUCAACUCAGGAACUUGACAUUGAAAGGUGCUUAAACAUAUUAUUGAAGAAAUGCAUUCAUCUAUUCAAGUCCUGUUUCCUAAGAACAUUUCAGUAAAGUCUAUUCUGUAAAAAUGUUCAUCUAUGGACAUGUAUAGAUAUUUGUUUGAUUAUAGCUAGGAGCCAGUAUUAGCAUUGAAGAUUUGUUCUUAUAGUGCAUGUUCUCAUAAAACCAAGUCUGGACACGAUCAGUUUCUGUCCUUGGCACAAUUGGAGAAAGAUCUUUGCUGCCACAAUUUCCUAAAUGCCUGUCUUGUUGUCCAAGCAUGAAAGGGUUUCCUUUGCCACAUCCUCACUUUGCACUUCUCAGAGUCAGGUUCUCUGUGUCCCUGGUGCUUAAAUCAUUUUAGGCUAAAGGAAAAUGAUAAUGAAGACACAUAUUCUCCCUCUCAUUCACUGCCUCUCUCUUCUGGUGGUUUCUAUCUUAAUGGAUUGAUAUAGUUUGGCUCUGUGUCCCCACUCAAAUCUCAUGUUGAAUUAUAAUUCCCAAUGCUGGGGGAAGGACAUAGUGGGGGGUGAUUGGAUCAUGGGGGUGAAAUUCCCCCCUGCUGUUCUCAUGAUAGUGAGUGAGUUCACACCAGAUCUGAUGGUUAAAAGUGUGUGGCACAUCCCCAUUUGCUGUCUAUCUCUCUCUCCUGCCACCAUGUAAAGAGGUGCAUUAGAUUAAAUGAAAUGAAAUAAUAUUUACUAACUACGUCCUCUUCACCUUUUGCCAUGAUUGUAAGAUUCCUGCGGCCUCCCAGUCAUGCUUCCUGUUAAGCCUGUGGAACUGUAGGUCAAUUAAACCUCUUUUCUUCAUGAAUUAUCCAGUCUCAGUAGUUCUCUAUAGCUGUGUGAGAACAGACUAAUACAUGGAUCUUAAUCCUAGAGAUGGACUCUUAAGCAUUGUCUUUUUUGGGACAGCACUGGAAUAAAAAUUUUCAGAUUUACAUGAGCCAAGAGAAGAGAGCAACGCUCUGAAUUAUCCUUGGGGAAACGGGGGAAGACAAAGUCUGCGGCACCCUGCAACUCACCCCGUAAGCUGUCGGCCUGCUGUAAAGACAUGGUAUCGUGCAGCAGUUUUUGGUGUUACUGACGACCAGCUCUGACGAGAGUCUUCGGUUUCUUAGCUUCAGGCUGGACUUCAACGAGCAUUACAAAGCCAGGGAGCCCAGGCUCCGCGUGUCUCUGGGUACCAGGGGGCGGCGCAGCUCCCACACGUGAAGCUCGCGGUCCUCCCAGGGAGCUGCGGGUGAUGUUCGUUGCACUGCUAGACACGAAAUUCCCAUUGACGUCCUGCAGGAACUGCAUGCUGCAGGUGUCCUGCCCUUCCGCCCACGAGUGCGCCAUGUUUCAGCGGAGCGGCGUGUGGGAGAAGCCACGUCGUGUUGCACACGUCGGAGUUGAAUGCAUUUGUAAAUCACUAAGUCAAGUAGGCUGGCUGCACUGUUCACAUUUGUCUCUAAAAGUCUUCAUCCCCAAAAGAUACCAUAAUUUGCUGAGGCUUCUGAAUCUUAAGUGCUCUAAGUUAUAACUUAUAUUUGUCACUUUAAAAGAACUGUUUGUUUAGCAAAAUCUACAGCAAGGGUAUAUUUAUAAAGUGAUAAUGUCAUUGCUGUUAUUUAGCAUCCUCUUCAGAAACUUUUUUUUGCAAUAUUAUUAGAUUAAACUGAAAUACAUAGAAAAUAUAGAGAGCAUUUUAUUAUCUUGGUAUUCAAGGUUGUAAAGUGUGAAAAUUUUUGUAUCUUACAUAUAUCUAUUCUUUUCUCUCUCCUUUCAAGGUUUACACUUACAGAUUUAAUUUACUAUUCUAGAUAACUUCUAAAAUAGUACAGAACACGAGUAGGAGUGUUGUGGAACAAAAACAUCCUUAAACUUAAAUUUCUUGACGCCACCAGCUGAAGCAGUGUGGCAACAGGAAUGACUAGAAAGUUAACAAAGUAUUUUAUUUUUACAAUUUUGAUGAGCAUUAUAAAGAAAUCGAUUUGGAUAAUGAAGGUUUCUUUUUUCUUUGACUAAUUUUUCCUUGUAAAUAUUUAUAUACUAUUGACCAGAUGCUGGGGAGAACGGUGUCUGUAAAAAGUCACGUCAUAUCAGCUUGCCUUUAUUAUGCUGUAUAAGUGAAAACUUAGAAAACUGAAAGCAAUUAUCUUUCAAAGCAUUGGCUGUUUUUUGAAUAGUCUAUUAAGUGACAGUUCAUUUGCCAGGGGGGCGGGGAUUGACAGGAUUUGAUUUAAUGUAGUACAGCAUAUGAAUUAUUUAAUCAUAAUUAGAAACCAAGAAAUUAGAUUUUGUGUGACUUUCGGUGUAGAAGCAAACGCAAUGUCACCACUCAGGUCUCAGGAGCGGUGCUUUAGUUAUCUGAAUCUGCCUCUGACUCCUUUAGGUGUGGAUUCCCUUUAAAACUAAAGGGGCCAUCAAGAAUCCUGGCCAUGCAGAAAUGAUUCCAUGGCAAAGGCCAGAAAUUCUUAGGAUAAAAACUUAAUUUAAUUUUAGUUUUCAAGUUCAUAAAAUCAGAAAUUUGAAACAGAUUUCUCCACUGCAAGUUGUCCUAGAAAUUAUGGCGUAUUGUGUAUCUCCGAGAGAGGUUUACCAAGGUUAUUAACCAUGCAGCCAGCUUUUAUUUUAUUUUAUUCAGAGAGUUGUUCCAGGGAUUAAUCCUCGGUAGAAACCACCCUAGCAAAGGCCCACCUCGAUUUUAGGGAUUACGACUCCAUUGGAGUGUAGGAGUCACCAGGACUUAGGUCAGAUCUGUGGGCUAUGGAGGGCUUCCGGGAGGUGCGGCCCUGGGGGGUGCCUGCGGGUCUGGAGGGUGGGAGCUGGGAUGGGGUGAGGCCUCUGAGGAGCUGCGUGAGACCCACUCUCCGUCAUUGUGGGUGCACAAUCAGGCCCCUUAGGGAGCCAGGGCCCCAAAACCCAGCAUCAGCCAAGCAUGGAUGACUUGGGGGUUCCACACUGGGGUUGUGCGUAAAGGAGAGCUCCUCUCAGGGGUGGGUGCGCCCGGCCCGGGGGUGCCACGUCUUCACCCAGAAAACGAGGCCGAGUCUGCAGGGGCCCUGCUGCAUGGAUGGAGGUGUGGGUGGUUGGUAGGACCCCAGGC